rnacentral:rRNA from 1 species
ACUCCUACGGGAGGCAGCAGUAGGGAAUCUUCCACAAUGGGCGAAAGCCUGAUGGAGCAACGCCGCGUGGGUGAAGAAGGUCUUCGGAUCGUAAAACCCUGUUGUUAGAGAAGAAAGUGCGUGAGAGUAACUGUUCACGUUUCGACGGUAUCUAACCAGAAAGCCACGGCUAACUACGUGCCAGCAGCCGCGGUAAUACGUAGGUGGCAAGCGUUAUCCGGAUUUAUUGGGCGUAAAGGGAACGCAGGCGGUUCUUUUAAGUCUGAUGUGAAAGCCUUCGGCUUAACCGGAGUAGUGCAUUGGAAACUGGGAGACUUGAGUGCAGAAGAGGAGAGUGGAACUCCAUGUGUAGCGGUGAAAUGCGUAGAUAUAUGGAAGAACACCAGUGGCGAAAGCGGCUCUCUGGUCUGUAACUGACGCUGAGGUUCGAAAGCGUGGUAGCAAACAGGAUUAGAUA